rnacentral:ncRNA from 2 species
CGUAAGCUACCUGUAGACGGAUAGCCAUCAAACUGGGAAAUGCGGGGAAUGCAGUGCGAAUCUGCAACUGACGCGCAACGGUGACACGCUAUUUUGCGUUAAGUCCGGAUACCGCGUUUUGCCUUGGAAGGC